GCCCCGCCACUGCCCCACCACCGCAGCAUCUCCUCCGCAGCCACGUGGAGCCCGAGAGGACGGCGGGCACGCAUGGCUAGCUGCGCCCUCGGCUUCUCCCCGAGACCCCGCGUCCCCCGACCGGACACUGCUGCCUCAGCCUCGGGAACGACACUGGCCGGCCCCGCCACCCCCGCCCGGCACUUACUGCCCGUGUGCACCCAGAACGGCACCGUGCCGUCCGCCUGCACCAGGAAAUGCAUUUGGGUAUGGCAAAGGCAGGACCUCUGGCUCCAGCUGUAGUGACAACAAGCUUACCACUCUGAUGGCAGUUAUUUUAAAUCAAAAAAGAAGAUGCCAAGGACGCUGGCGUAAGUGUGGGCAUUCACUUAGUGCUGGAAUUGUCCCUUUCUCUCCCUAAACUCAAACCCUCACAGCCAUUUCCCUCAUGCAGUCAUUUCCCUUCUCGGUUGCAGUUUUGAACAACAGGAGUUAGUUUAGGGUUGGGUUUUGAGGUGGGUUGGUUUUGGUGGGAUGGUUUUUUUUUGUUGGUGUGGGUUUUUUUGGUUGGGUUUUCUUUUGUUGUUUUUUGUUGGGUUUUUUUUUCUCCCCUUGCUAAGCCCUCAUUAACUCCACUCAUGCUGUCUUACUCUGUUUGCCAGUGCUUAAGUAGUGCAUUUUUAAAAAAGCAACCAAUUAGCACCUCAUCAGCUUCAAUUAGUGGAGACAAAAGCAGUGUAAAGAUAACUCAAUGAGAGGGGGUGGCACAACAUCAUGUAAUCACUUAAGACAGCGGUGAGCACUGUGCUGGCUCUGCCGGACUGGGCCUAUUCACCUUUCUUUGCUUCUUUCUCCAUGCAUUUAAGACUUUUUUGGGGG
rnacentral:lncRNA from 12 species